UGGUGGGUAGUUUGACUGGGGCGGUCUCCUCCUAAAGAGUAACGGAGGAGCACGAAGGUUGGCUAAUCCUGGUCGGACAUCAGGAGGUUAGUGCAAUGGCAUAAGCCAGCUUGACUGCGAGCGUGACGGCGCGAGCAGGUGCGAAAGCAGGUCAUAGUGAUCCGGUGGUUCUGAAUGGAAGGGCCAUCGCUCAACGGAUAAAAGGUACUCCGGGGAUAACAGGCUGAUACCGCCCAAGAGUUCAUAUCGACGGCGGUGUUUGGCACCUCGAUGUCGGCUCAUCACAUCCUGGGGCUGAAGUAGGUCCCAAGGGUAUGGCUGUUCGCCAUUUAAAGUGGUACGCGAGCUGGGUUUAGAACGUCGUGAGACAGUUCGGUCCCUAUCUGCCGUGGGCGCUGGAGAACUGAGGGGGGCUGCUCCUAGUACGAGAGGACCGGAGUGGACGCAUCACUGGUGUUCGGGUUGUCAUGCCAAUGGCACUGCCCGGUAGCUAAAUGCGGAAGAGAUAAGUGCUGAAAGCAUCUAAGCACGAAACUUGCCCCGAGAUGAGUUCUCCCUGACUCCUUGAGAGUCCUGAAGGAACGUUGAAGACGACGACGUUGAUAGGCCGGAUGUGUAAGCGCAGCGAUGCGUUGAGCUAACCGGUACUAAUGAACCGUGAGGCUUAACCUUACAACGCCGAAG
rnacentral:rRNA from 1 species